rnacentral:rRNA from 1 species
UGGGGAAUUUUGGACAAUGGGCGAAAGCCUGAUCCAGCAAUGCCGCGUGUGUGAAGAAGGCCUUCGGGUUGUAAGCACUUUUGUCCGGAAAGAAAUCCUUGGCUCUAAUACAGUCGGGGGAUGACGGUACCGGAAGAAUAAGCACCGGCUAACUACGUGCCAGCAGCCGCGGUAAUACGUAGGGUGCAAGCGUUAAUCGGAAUUACUGGGCGUAAAGCGUGCGCAGGCGGUUUGCUAAGACCGAUGUGAAAUCCCCGGGGCUCAACCUGGGAACUGCAUUGGUGACUGGCAGGCUAGAGUAUGGCAGAGGGGGGUAGAAUUCCACGUGUAGCAGUGAAAUGCGUAGAGAUGUGGAGAAUACCGAUGGCGAAGGCAGCCCCCUGGGGCCAAAUACUGACGCUCAUGCACGAAAAGCGUGGGGAGCAAACAGGAUUAGAUACCCUGGUAGUCCACGCCCUAAACGAUGUCAACUAGUUGUUGGGGAUUCAUUUCCUUAGUAACGUAGCUAACGCGUGAAGUUGACCGCCUGGGGGAGUACGGUCGC